rnacentral:lncRNA from 1 species
GUUGGUAUAAUUAUUCUGCUCAAGAAUUCUUCUAUUGCUAUCGUUGCUUUCAAAAGCUUUGAAAGGGGUAGCAGGUAUAGGAGUAUUCUUGUGUUCAAUAAUUAUGGUAUCAACUGGAGGGUGACUGGAUUCUACAACAGACUUAUCUAUCAUUUUUCAUUUUUCUUUAGUCAAAGUUUUAAACUCAUCAUUAGACAUAUAGCGGCUUUCUACAAAGUCAAGGUAGAAAAUUUCAACUUUGGCUGACCGCAUAUAAUCUUUCCAUUCUUUAAAAAUUUCUUGGCGAGUUUUGCUAUCAGGAAAGACUUGGUGAUAACUUUCUCUUCUGGACAGGUUCUCAGGGGCUUUGAGAUGACUGUCUAAAUGAGCCCAAUCAAUUUUAAACUUUCUAUUAAGGGUUCUUAGUUGGUUAUCAACUGUGGCAUAGUUUUCGACUACAAAAUCAGAUUGUGUAGGUGAUUCGGGUGACUCAGAAUUAUCUUCUCGAACUGGAGCCUUGCCAUAGCAGGGCUGGGUUACCUGAGAGGAUUUUCUCAGGGACUCAAGUUUGAA